rnacentral:tRNA from 1 species
GGGUCGUUAGCUCAGUUGGUAGAGCAGGGGACUUUUAAUCCCAAGGUCAUGGGUUCGACCCCCAUACGACCCACCA